rnacentral:rRNA from 1 species
UACAGAGGUCUCAAGCGUUGUUCGGAUUCAUUGGGCGUAAAGGGUGCGUAGGCGGCGCGGUAAGUCGGGUGUGAAAUCUCGGAGCUUAACUCCGAAACUGCAUUCGAUACUGCCGUGCUUGAGGACUGGAGAGGAGACUGGAAUUUACGGUGUAGCGGUGAAAUGUGUAGAGAUCGGGAGGAACACCGGUGGCGAAGGCGGGUCUCUGGGCAUUUCCUGACGCUGAGGCGCGAAAGCGUGGGGAGCAAACGGG